rnacentral:tRNA from 1 species
GCCUACGUAGCUCAGUGGUAGAGCACUUCCUUGGUAAGGAAGAGGUCACCGGUUCAAGCCCGGUCGUAGGCU